rnacentral:rRNA from 1 species
AGAGUUUGAUCAUGGCUCAGGAUGUACGCUAGCUACAGGCUUAACACAUGCAAGUCGAGGGGAAACGAUAGAGAAAGCUUGCUUUUUCUAGGCGUCGACCGGCGCACGGGUGAGUAACGCGUAUCCAACCUGCCCACCACUUGGGGAUAACCUUGCGAAAGUAAGACUAAUACCCAAUGAUAUCUCUAGAAGACAUCUGAAAGGGAUUAAAGAUUUAUCGGUGAUGGAUGGGGAUGCGUCUGAUUAGCUUGUUGGCGGGGUAACGGCCCACCAAGGCGACGAUCAGUAGGGGUUCUGAGAGGAAGGUCCCCCACAUUGGAACUGAGACACGGUCCAAACUCCUACGGGAGGCAGCAGUGAGGAAUAUUGGUCAAUGGACGGGAGUCUGAACCAGCCAAGUAGCGUGCAGGAUGACGGCCCUAUGGGUUGUAAACUGCUUUUAUAAGGGAAAUAAAGUGAGCCUCGUGAGGCUUUUUGCAUGUACCUUAUGAAUAAGGACCGGCUAAUUCCGUGCCAGCAGCCGCGGUAAUACGGAAGGUCCGGGCGUUAUCCGGAUUUAUUGGGUUUAAAGGGAGCGUAGGCCGGAGAUUAAGCGUGUUGUGAAAUGUAGAUGCUCAACAUCUGCACUGCAGCGCGAACUGGUUUCCUUGAGUACGCACAAAGUGGGCGGAAUUCGUGGUGUAGCGGUGAAAUGCUUAGAUAUCACGAAGAACUCCGAUUGCGAAGGCAGCUCACUGGAGCGCAACUGACGCUGAAGCUCGAAAGUGCGGGUAUCGAACAGGAUUAGAUACCCUGGUAGUCCGCACGGUAAACGAUGGAUGCCCGCUGUUGGUCUGAAUAGGUCAGCGGCC